UACGUAGGGGGCAAGCGUUGUCCGGAAUUACUGGGCGUAAAGCGUGCGCAGGCGGUUGUGCAAGACCGAUGUGAAAUCCCCGGGCUUAACCUGGGAAUGGCAUUGGUGACUGCACGGCUAGAGUGUGUCAGAGGGGGGUAGAAUUCCACGUGUAGCAGUGAAAUGCGUAGAGAUGUGGAGGAAUACCGAUGGCGAAGGCAGCCCCCUGGGAUAACACUGACGCUCAUGCACGAAAGCGUGGGGAGCAAACAGG
rnacentral:rRNA from 1 species